CUGAUUUCUCUCCCGCGCGCGUGUUUCUCUCCGAUCAACUUCUCUACUCUUCAUCGACUGGUGGAUCAUGAAAGGAUUGCUAGUACCGUCCAGAUGGUCCGUGACUCAUUCUAUUCGUGAGACGAAGAUCGAUCGGGUCGCCGAUUCCGUGUGGAUACGCGUAGAGGCCGGGCAUGUGCGCGGCUCAUCGGAUUCUCUGUUCGUCAUAUUUAGUUUCAACUGUACAGUAGAUCAAGAGACCUUAACUGGUCCACGGUAAGAUCUCUGAACAUAAAGAGUUUUGUUUAGAUUAAAUUUUUGCAUAGUAACAUGAGAAUGAUCCGCCGGCAACGGUUUGAUUUAUUGGUUUUCAAUUUUCAUAUAUGAUAUGUAUUUGGCUUCCGAAAAAUUUUAAAAGUGCAAAACUAUUUUCCACUGCGUUUUUCUGAUGUGCCGGUUAAUUUCUAACAGUGGUAUCAGAGCCGAUUCUCAUGUUCUAUGUAAAAAUAUUAAAGAUCGGUACGAUUCGAUCAAAUUUUUUGGAUUCUUUCUACGAUUAGAUCGUUCUCAUUUUGUCAUUUUGCAUGUGCUACGAUUUGUUGUUUUAUUACAACAAUAUUGCCAAGCAAAAAUGCGAGAUAACGUAUUUUAUAGUUCCAAAAAUUUUAAUCGAGAUCCGAAACGGAUUGGUUGCAGUUUUUGUAUAAUUAAUUGUAUAGGAGAUGAUCAUGAACUAGAUCAGACCUCUGUGAUGUGAUUAUGGAUGUAUCUGGAUGUUUUUGAGAUGAUGUGAUGUAUUUUUUUUGGGUGUAAUUUACGCAAUUAUUUGUUAUUUAGUUUCCGGUAUUUGUAAAUAGGGUCUGCAUGUCUUUGUUCUUCUCUUUAAAUUAAUUUGUAAUUUAUUGAGAUCUGCGUAUCCUUACUUGUCUAAUCUGUAAUAAUUAGAUUAGGCAAAAUUAGAGUUCUAUAGGAAGUGUGCUCCGAAAGAGUUGACGGACUAAGGUCGUAAUUUUUUACAGCACCCUGGCUUACAUAGGACUCAGAAGAAGAUGAUGAUUGAAUGGUCGCAGACGGGAUCUAUUUGACCACAAAAGAUGUUGGUAAAUCGGAAAGUUGAAGAAUAGCUUUUCUCAAAAGUUGAGAGUGUGUAUGUGAAUGUAACAAUUACCCCAUAGGCUGAUUUGACUCAUCGGCUCGAGUCAAAUCAUAAAAGUUCAUGAUCAUCCCUUUUAGC
rnacentral:lncRNA from 1 species